UACGUAGGGGGCAAGCGUUGUCCGGAUUUAUUGGGCGUAAAGAGCGUGUAGGCGGCCUGACAGGUCUGCUGUGAAAACUCGAGGCUCAACCUCGAGAUGUCGGCGGAAACCGUCUGGCUAGAGUCCGGAAGAGGAGAGUGGAAUUCCCGGUGUAGCGAUGAAAUGCGCAGAUAUCGGGAAGAACACCCGUGGCGAAGGCGGCUCUCUGGAACGAUACUGACGCUGAGACGCGAAAGCGUGGGGAGCGAACAGG
rnacentral:rRNA from 1 species